rnacentral:rRNA from 1 species
AGCGAACGCUGGCGGCAGGCCUAACACAUGCAAGUCGAACGAAGCCUUCGGGCUUAGUGGCGGACGGGUGAGUAACGCGUGGGAACGUACCUUUUGGUUCGGAACAACUCAGGGAAACUUGAGCUAAUACCGGAUGAGCCCUUAGGGGGAAAGAUUUAUCGCCGAAAGAGCGGCCCGCGUUAGAUUAGCUAGUUGGUGAGGCAAAGGCUCACCAAGGCAACGAUCUAUAGCUGGUCUGAGAGGAUGAUCAGCCACACUGGGACUGAGACACGGCCCAGACUCCUACGGGAGGCAGCAGUGGGGAAUCUUGCGCAAUGGGCGAAAGCCUGACGCAGCCAUGCCGCGUGAAUGAUGAAGGUCUUAGGAUUGUAAAAUUCUUUUACCAGGGACGAUAAUGACGGUACCUGGAGAAAAAGCCCCGGCUAACUUCGUGCCAGCAGCCGCCGCGG